GACGAACGCUGGCGGCGUGCUUAACACAUGCAAGUCGAACGGUGAUGCUCCAGCUUGCUGGAGUGGAUCAGUGGCGAACGGGUGAGUAACACGUGAGCAACCUGCCCCAGACUCUGGAAUAAGCGCUGGAAACGGCGUCUAAUACUGGAUACGAAACUGGCCCGCAUGGGCAUGGUUUGGAAAGUUUUUCGGUUUGGGAUGGGCUCGCGGCCUAUCAGCUUGUUGGUGAGGUAAUGGCUCACCAAGGCGACGACGGGUAGCCGGCCUGAGAGGGCGACCGGCCACACUGGGACUGAGACACGGCCCAGACUCCUACGGGAGGCAGCAGUGGGGAAUAUUGCACAAUGGGCGGAAGCCUGAUGCAGCGACGCCGCGUGAGGGAUGACGGCCUUCGGGUUGUAAACCUCUUCCAGCAGGGAAGAAGCGAAAGUGACGGUACCUGCAGAAGAAGCACCGGCUAACUACGUG
rnacentral:rRNA from 1 species